AUUGAACGCUGGCGGCAUGCCUUACACAUGCAAGUCGAACGGCAGCACGGGUGCUUGCACCUGGUGGCGAGUGGCGAACGGGUGAGUAAUACAUCGGAACAUGUCCUGUAGUGGGGGAUAGCCCGGCGAAAGCCGGAUUAAAACCGCAUACGAUCUACGGAUGAAAGCGGGGGACCUUCGGGCCUCGCGCUAUAGGGUUGGCCGAUAGCUGAUUAGCUAGUUGGUGGGGUAAAGGCCUACCAAGGCGACGAUCAGUAGCUGGUCUGAGAGGACGACCAGCCACACUGGGACUGAGACACGGCCCAGACUCCUACGGGAGGCAGCAGUGGGGAAUUUUGGACAAUGGGCGAAAGCCUGAUCCAGCAAUGCCGCGUGUGUGAAGAAGGCCUUCGGGUUGUAAAGCACUUUUGUCCGGAAAGAAAUCCUUGGCUCUAAUACAGUCGGGGGAUGACGGUACCGGAAGAAUAAGCACCGGCUAACUACGUG
rnacentral:rRNA from 1 species